GGAACGUCAUCUGGCUCGUGGGUGCCAGCCCGUCUGCUACGCGGUGAACUCCGAAAGGAGAGGCAGGUUCGACUCCUGCACGUUCCG
rnacentral:tRNA from 1 species